GCCUUAAUGCAUUGAGAGUGGUAGUCUCAACAUACCAUUUAUUGAUCCAAUUUUCAACAAAAAAUAGAGUCAGAGAAAUGCAUGGAGACCAAUAGUUAGCACGACGCUGCUUCUUAGUCUCCACUCAAAAUAAUAAAUCUGAAGACUCUCUACCUAUCGACAAGUUAGAGCAAAGAGAGAAUCAGGAGAGGGAUGAACCAGCUGAACAACUAGUUUUCAUCCCAC
rnacentral:lncRNA from 1 species